rnacentral:lncRNA from 1 species
GGUCACCAUGAGGUGACACUGGGGGUUCAGGUGACGCCCCAGGUGACACUGGGGGUGUUGAGGGUUACUCUCAGGUGACAAUUGGGUGUUCAGGGUCAUUCUGAGGUGACACUGGGGGUUCAGGUGACGCCCCAGGUGACACUGGGGGUGUUCAGGGUCACACUCAGGUGUCACUGGAGGUGUUCAGGGUCACUCAGGUGUCACUGGAGGUGUUCAGGGUCACCCUGAGGUGACACUGGGGGUUCAGGUGAUGCCCCAGGUGACACUGGGGGUGUUCAGUGUCACUCUGAGGUGACACUGGGGGUUCAGGUGACGCCCCCAGGCUGUCUCCGCCCCCCCAGGUGACACUGAGGGGGUCACAGUCACUCUCAGGUGUCACAGGGGGUGUUCAGCGUCACUCUCAGGUGACACUGGGGGGUUCAGGUGACGCCCCCAGGCUGUCUCCGCCCCCCCAGGUGACGUGGGCGUGGCCCCGCAGGUGGAAGCCGCAGCUGCAGGAGCUGCUGAAGCUGCCGGCGUUCAUGAGGGUCUCGUCCACGGGG